CCAAGAUGGUGAACAUCGCGGGAAGUACAAAAUGAAGUGGAGUAUUAGAUACAUUUAAUAAACCACUGAGACAUAGAUGUGAAGAUAUUGCAGACUUUAUUCAUAAAUUAUCAAGCAAGGUACUCCAGUGAGUUACAGCACAACCAACUAUUCCGUAGUGAGGUCACUGGUAGUAAACAUCAUCAACCUUUACUCAAUCUCAACCAAUCAUCACAGAUGGAGUCAGGUAGUCGAGAAACAUGGCGUAGUGAGAUACUUCUACAAGCAUUGGGAGAGCUCUGGUUAAAUCAGAAUAUGCUACAUAUGGAACAUAAUAAUUAUGCUGUGAAAUUUUUCAGAAUUAUAGCUUAUUCACUUGAUUAAGUUUGGGCUUAAAACACCAUUGGAGCAGACGAGCAAAUGUUCAACAUUUACAGUUGAGUUAUAUCCAGCCAUGGCGCUAUGUAGAUCAAUCUGUAGAAACAGAAAGAUCUCCAAGAGGUAACAUGAGAGAAACUCAGAAGGACAAACCAAUACAAGAAGAAAGAUGCCAAGAGAAGUCUUUAUGAGGAUUAUGGUUCACCACAUCAUGGCCACUCUGCUUCAUAUGGAAGUAGUUUCCUGACCCCUAAGCCUAAUCCAUCUGUACCUGACUUGGGCUCCCAAGUAGCUGAGCUUGAGACCCCUGGAUUCAUGUAUACACUACUGUUCAGCAAUGAUGUCAAAGCUCUGAUUGAAAGAUUGGUACAGAAUGUUCACCAAGCUCAGAUCACAGUAUCCAACUUAAGUUGCACACCAGUCACCAAUGAUGGAGAGGGCUAUUUGUCUUGGUUUUCACAAAGUACCUUCAGUGACCCAACAUCUACAGGUCAAAGGUCACAGGGUCAUCUUCAGCUGCAGGAUGCUAUUGGUCCAGUAGAUGCCAACAAGUUGUGCAGAUACUUGGAAUAUACAAAGGAUUAUCUUUCCAAAGUGUUUCAGAUGAUGAAUAAACUACGAAAGUUUGAGAUCGCAUACCGAGGUGACCCAGAACUUCAGCCAAUCAGAAGCUUUGAUUGUUCGCAAGCUGUAUGCACUCUCGUCAAACUUCAACACUACGUUUGGUGAUAAAGUCUUUGAGGUAUAUCAUCGAGCAGAUUUCAGUGGAGCUUUAGCUAAGCAGAUCUUCACUGCACGUACAUCAAUCCCAACCCAUAGACAGACAGCCAUUCCAACGCCCCCAUACCGUGCCUCCCCUCAACAACAAACAUGCAAUCCAAGAUUGAGUCUUCGUUUUCUAGCUAAUUACUACACUCUAGCUAAGCUGGUACUGCUCUCGCUGAUUCUUUGGUUAUUUAUUGGCUUUGGACCUACUGGAAUAUUACUCACGCUAGUGUUCUUGACUGUGCUCUACAUCUUUUUCAGCGGGGUGGUGUACACAGUUAGACAACAUUCACACACACAUGAGCAUAUUGAAUAAUAUACAAGCACAUGGUGCAGCCAACAUGGAUUCAGUUCGGUUAUAAACCAUUAUAGACUUGACUCAUUGUUGUACCUAUAAUGACUACCAAGGAGAACCCAGUCAAAUGUCGGAUGGAUAAAGUGUGUAUUUACACCAAUGAAGGACUUGGUAAACUCUAGUUUGGAAUCAGUACUCUACUGGGUACAAUAUAUGUUUCACAAUUGUCAUCAUGGAGGACUUUGACAAAUUGAAUUAGUUGACAAAACCUUAAAGUACAUUGUAAAUUGAUUUGUGGAAGACUUGGUCAACUUUAAUCAUAAAUUGCAGGGUUGAAACAAUACACCAGUAAAUGUUCACAUCUAAACAGGGUUGAAAUAUAAGUUGCAAUGUUUUGCACUGCGUUUAAUUUCAACACUUUGCAUGGUAAUUGCAUGGUAAAAAGUUAUACUGGUAAAUAAAUACUCGGCUAAACAUAAAACCACACUAUGUCUCUUGGCAAUGAGGUUUUGAUUAAAAUACACUAGGAAAAGUUGUAUCAAAAAGAGUCAAGAUCUUUGUAUACAAAGUGCUGUCUUGCAACCAUUUCAGUAAGAAACAUCAUUUUGUUAUGAGGUGUUCCAGAAAAUGCAACGAUGUACACACAAACCGAGGUAUACACAUGCAAGUCACUCAAUACUGACACGCAAACUAAGAAUGAAAAUUGUUACAACACUUUUAACAAUAAACAAGUUUUGAUCUCAGUGUAUUGAAAGUUUUGAUGUUAAUCAAUCCAUGAAGUCUAGGCUAUCUGAGGAUUAAAGUACAACUUUUUGUUUAACAUGUACAUCCAUGAAGAUCGUAUCUCAAAAGUAUGCCAUCUCAAUGUUGCAACUGUCCAUUACAGUUCAAAAUUAUACAUAAAGAUAUUGGAACACACUUCUAGUGUGAUAAGUCAAUUGAAACACUAUUUUCAAACAAGUAUUACCCUGUCUCUCAGUUGUUUAAUGAUUUAUUUCCAACUUUUAUCUGUGGCAUCCAUCAAGUUAGCCGUCAUAUAAACCACAAAGUAUAUGUCAUGUCAAUGAUAGGGUGUAUUGAAAUGCACAAUGAUGCAAUUAUUUUAGAAUAACAAAAUAAACUUGUAAAUUAUACCAGGUGUUGUAAUUAAUCUUCAAUUACAUUUUGUCUCAUGAAAGUAUGUUUGAAAGGGAAACAUUUCACAAAGUGCCAUCUUGCAACUCUUUUAAGGGAAAAUAAACUUUGUAAUAAAAUAUCUAAGAAACUGUGCUUAUUCUGAUACAACAUGAUCUCUGAUGUAAUGUAGUCAAUCAAACUUGGCAAUCGUUUUGCAGGCAAAGUAGUACUGCUUAGCACAAGUUUGCAAUUCAUUGAAUAGUAAUCUUCACAUAUGCAAAACAAUUAAAGGGACAGACGGUUAUUUACUCUGUCAAACAAAAAUCUUAAAGGAACACGUUGCCUUGGAUCGGUCGAGUUGGUCUUUGAAAAGCGUUUGUAACUGUUUGUUAUAAAA